UACUCCCUAACCCCAGCCCUUGUAUGUGGGACUGACAGCACACUAACCUUUAGGCUAGAAGGACUAAUUAAUUAAUUGCUCUGCCCAUAUCCAGAGGGCUGAAGCCCCUAGACUAUUACUGUCCACCCCAACCAGCAGGCCAGGGCUACCAGUUCACUGGUGGUGUGCUGAAUCCUCCUUUUUGCACCCUGAACUGUAAUUUGGGCAAUUGAGCAGCCGCAAGUCAGACCGCCCAACGAACUGCUGGAGGGCAUACCGAUUUCCUGAUGCCUCCAAAAGGGGGUGGCCUGAACCCAAGAGGGAGGACAGUUACACUUUGGAUCUGGCCAUAGUUGAAAUGAAGACUAAACAGUUUUCUGCUGUGUAAUAACACUUUUCACUUUGCCUUAAUAGGUUGUUUUUAAUCCCGUGAUCCAUUGACCAGCCGUGCUUUGAGGCAAAGAAUUCUUGAGAUUGGGGUAAGGGAUCUUCCCAGCUUCCCGAGAGAGAAGGUGAGGGGCAAAGUGAUUGGUGAGCAAAUGGUCCACUGUAUAAGGUAAGGAAAUCAUGUCUGUCUGGGCCAAGUCAAAACUAUUAGAACAACACUGGCUUUGUCCUUUAUUUUGAGUAGAACUUGGGAUAUUAGGAGCCAGAGGGAACAGAAAGAAGACCUGAAUACCAUUGAAGGUGAAAAGCAUGUUCCAGGGAUUGGUGACCACCCUGUCACUUGGGCGGAACUGAAUGCAUUUCUUGUUUGUGGCUGUGAUGAACAGAUCUAUCCGAGGGGUGCCUCGUUGUUGAAAUAUGCAGUGAAGUACAAUGGAAUCUAUUACCCACUCAUGGUCUUGUGAGAAGUGCCUGCUGAAUGUAUCUGUGGUCACAUUCUGAGCUCUUGGAAGGUAAAAAGGCAAGGCAUGCCGAACAUCAAGGGAGUGGAGUCUUUGUUCUUCUGUGGAAGUUUAUGGUUUGGGGAAGAACACAGUGUACGGCGAAUCGGCCAUCAUCGCUGAGAUGAUAGCUACAAGGAAAGCAACCUUCAUGGAAAGGGAAGACAUGGAGUAAGUAGCCAAAGGCUCAGAGGGGAGCCCUGUGAGUACUGAGAGAACAAGGUUAAGGUCCGCUGGGAAGCAAGCUUCUGAAUACGUGGGAAGGUUCUUAUUAGGCCUUUCCAGAAUCUAUUGGUGUGCGGAUGUGCAAAGACUGAAUGGCCCUGAGAAGGUGGGUGGUAUGUGCUGAUCGCCAUCAAGUGGACAUGCAAGGAGCUGAUGAACAAACCUGAUAUCUUCAAAGAGAGGAUAUAGUCCAAGUUGAGAUGGAUAUCUGUAGUCUCUUGGAGAACUCCUCUUUAGUGUGCCCAAGAGAAGCACUUCUAUUUAGCUAGGUAAAUUUGUCUAGUAAAGUCCUUUCUAUUAUAAGAGAGGAUAUCUUGUACAGCUGUGGAGCAUAAAUAUACCCAUCCAAAUACCAAGCCCUGGGGUGGAGUGGACACAGACUGAGGUGCUUGAUCUUGCCAUUCCACUGGGUCAGGAGCUUGGAGAAUAUUGGGAGGAUAAUUGGUGGUUGGGAUGACGUGUAGUUGGGAAACUAGAACUGUCUGGGCCAGAAGGAGGUGAGAAAAAUCCUGCUGGAUUUUUUGUAGAACUUGUGGCAGAAGUGGUAGCAGAGGGAAGGCACAGUUGAACUGGUCAGGGCAAGGAAGAAUCAGAGUGUCAUCUGGGAGUGGCAAGAGGAGGUUACUCACCCUGUGCAGUAACUGACAUUCUUAGAGAUGAGUGUCCCUGUG